AACCGUGCUCUCUGCAAAAAAAAGAACUUCUUUCUUACCAUUAACUGCUGAAUGCACAGAUCUGUACAGUCCUUAAAAUCCUCAAUUGCUUGGGGAUGAAACCAGGUUGAUCCUUUGUGAGGUGGGAUUCCUUUAAAUUCUGUGAAAAGUGUAAACCCAUUUAAGAAAGAUUAAGGCUUUGCAUUAGUGGUUCCUGUUUUUGUUGAGAGCAGAUGUAAUUCGGGUGUUGCUCUUGUUGCAAUAGGAAGUUUCUUCUUUGUUCUUUCUAUUAGUGGAUGGGUCUAGGGAUGUAUGGAUUCGUUUAUUUGAAGCAUAAAACUAGUUUCUUUGAGUGGCUUUCUGUAAAUUGGCAUUGAGGAAAACUAAAGGGUUUUUCAAAGCCGCAACGAGGUCUGUAUUGCUCUGUUUAAGCAGAGAAAUGAUUCAGUUGCUGUUCUUGGUCUUGUUCGCUGAGGCUGUUCUGGCAUUCCUUCUAUUGAUCAAGAUUGGGCCAUUGAGAGAGCUUGUGAUGAAGACUUUGGAUCAACUGAAGAUGGGGAGAGGUCCUGCUACGAUGAAAACCAUAGCUGGUACUAUGUCUGUGAUUCUCCUGUCCAGCCUUAUGAGCAUUGUUAAGAUCCAGAACAAGGGUGCAAAGCUGGGUACCAUGUCACCCAUGGAUCAGGUUCUAUGGAGGACCCAUUUGCUCGAGGCUUCUCUCAUGAGUUUUACCCUAUUUCUUGGAUUCAUGAUUGACCGUAUGCACCAUUAUCUCCAAAAGCUUAUCCAGUUGAGGAGUAGUGUGGGAGCUUCAAAAGAGGAAGUUGAAAGGCUUCAAAAAGAAAAUAUUCAGUUCAAAGAAAAAGAAGAGAAAGCUUCCAAGGAGAUAAAGCUGCUGCAAGGAGAAAUUGCAACCCUAUCAGAGAAUUUGAAAAAGCUGAAGCUAGAAACUGAGGAAAAGGAUAAGAGGGUUGAAACUGCUGAAAGCCAUGUUGCAUCCCUUCAAAAACAAGCUGCAGAUCUACUUCUUGAAUAUGACCGUCUAUUAGAAGACAACCAAAAUCUUCAGACUCAAGCUCUAGGAUAUAGGAGUUAACUUUGAAAGGCAUCGAGGAUGGGAGUUUAUUCUGGUCACCGGUGAUGUUAAUGAAACGUAUCCUUAUUGCAAGGAAAGGGUGUUUGUUUGGCCCUUCCAAGAGGGAAAGUGGAGAUGGAAUAGUUGAACACAUGCUGUAAUCAAGUUAAGAUUGGGAAUGAAAAUUCUGAUCUCUAGUCGGCUGCCUUCACAGAGAUGGGGUGCCCUUGUCCUUGGAUUUCUCUCUAAGAAGAAAUAUAUUUGUAAGUUUGGUUUGGAGGAUACAUCCUUCAAAUUACUGAUAUGAUAUAAUUCUAUUUGUAAGAUAGUUUAAUUUUGAACCUAUAUUGUAAAUCAAACCUUAUUAUCUCAGAGGUAUAGAGAUCAUGCACACUGAUUUGCAAGUAGAACAACUCUUUUCCCAAACACAGUUUAUUGUUGAGAUGUAGGAUGGGGUGAAGUAUGUGAUAUGGGAGAAUAAGUAUGAUGAA